GUGGGGAAUCUUCCGCAAUGGGCGCAAGCCUGACGGAGCAACGCCGCGUGAGUGAAGAAGGGUUUCGACUCGUAAAGCUCUGUUGUCGGGGACGAAUGUGGAGAUGGUGAAUAACCAUUUCCAAUGACGGUACCUGACGAGGAAGCCACGGCUAACUACGUGCCAGCAGCCGCGGUAAUACGUAGGUGGCGAGCGUUGUCCGGAAUUAUUGGGCGUAAAGGGAGCGCAGGCGGGAGGUCAAGUCUAUCUUAAAAGUGCGGGGCUCAACCCCGUGAGGGGAUGGAAACUGGUCUUCUUGAGUGCAGGAGAGGAAAGCGGAAUUCCUAGUGUAGCGGUGAAAUGCGUAGAUAUUAGGAGGAACACCAGUGGCGAAGGCGGCUUUCUGGACUGUAACUGACGCUGAGGCUCGAAAGCGUGGGGAGCGAACAGGAUUAGAAACCCUAGUAGUCC
rnacentral:rRNA from 1 species